AGAGCCAAGCAGGCAAAUUAAAUUCCUUCUAUUCAGCCUUGCUGAGAGGUGAAAAAACUCCUCUCUCAGUUGGCGAUGUUUAUCACUGGCUCUGUCCUUCCUGCAUGGCAGGCUGUUGGGCAUUCCAAUAGCCAGGCUGGUCAAGAGUGAUGCCUUUCAUUUUUAUUUAUAUGUUGGUUCCUUUUUAAUUCUUUCAGAAUUGUCCAAAUCCAUCUGAGGCCCUGUGUCUGUAUAAACUGAUUUCCAUGGCUGCUCCUCCAUGUAAGACUUUGCCAUUCUCUGCCUCCAAAAGGACUUGGAUCUAGGAUGACCAUAGCAUCAGGCAUCUUUUGAUUAUGGAGAUAAUCAGCCAGUGCCUCUGACCAAGCCAUGUUUUAAUCCAAGAGUAACUACCCUCGGAGAAUAUUGCCUGUUUCCGGGAGUAAGAAGAAAAUGGUCUGCACCAUGACAACAUAUAUUACUACUGGCUGCCCAGGGGAGCAAAAGGAGAUUAGGACAUACAGAUACACACAGAGGGAAGUUCGCAUGAAGACACAGGUAGAAGAUGACCAUCCACAAGCCAAGUAGAGAGGCCUCAGAAGAAACCAACCCUGUCAACUCCUUGAUCUCAGUCUUCUAGAUUGCCAUUUAUGCGGAAAAAUUUUGUUGUUUUGAGAUAUCCUGAGGUAAAGGGAAAGCAACCAGGAACACAGAAUGGAGCUCUGUUGGGGGGGUAGAUUUCACGUCAGACAGAAAGGGUAUCAUGGAGACACAAAAAAGUAUGUUCUUGGGCGUAUAGGUUUGAACCAUAUUUAAAUCAUAUGAGAUGAUAGCAUUGUGUAGAACUGGUUGAAGUAUCACACAUAAACAUUCAAAAUGGAUUAGUUUUAUUUUGCAUUAUGUUCCAGUUGGAUUCUCUUAAACAAAAAGCCAUCAUUUUUCCUACAACCACCAAUUUUAUAGCAGAUGUUAUACAUUCUUUGAAAGCAAAGACUGUGACAUUUAUCUUUGUAUUUCUUUCAGCGCCUAUGUAAAGAUUUCUAAUAAAUGCUUGAUGGAUAUAUUAAUGGUUUCUUUAGAAAGUCCUUCUUGUUAACUCGUAUAAUUGAACCAAUAUACUACUUUGUAUUGAACCAUACAUACAGAUUUGUAUUAAUAAAGCAUGUGAUUCAUAAAA